CUUGCCACACUUUUUUCAGGUGUCCGUCGCAAAGCGCGACGGGUGAAACGGGAAAUCGGUGAGUCUGGCCCCCAGCCAGUACAAGUCCGAUGCUGCCCCCGCAACGGUAAGCAGGAUAACGGCAAUCUGAUGCGCCACUGUGUCGCCAAGACAUGGGAAGGUGAUUGCCCGGGAACCUUGGUUCCGCCUGCCAGCCCGGAGACCGGCCUGGAAAAACACCCGAAG
rnacentral:ncRNA from 2 species